GAUGAACGCUGGCGGCGUGCCUAAUACAUGCCAGUCGAGCGAACAGACGAGGAGCUUGCUCCUCUGACGUUAGCGGCGGACGGGUGAGUAACACGUGGAUAACCUACCUAUAAGACUGGGAUAACUUCGGGAAACCGGAGCUAAUACCGGAUAAUAUAUUGAACCGCAUGGUUCAAUAGUGAAAGACGGUUUUGCUGUCACUUAUAGAUGGAUCCGCGCCGCAUUAGCUAGUUGGUAAGGUAACGGCUUACCAAGGCAACGAUGCGUAGCCGACCUGAGAGGGUGGUCCGCCACCCCGGAACUGAGACACGGUCCAGACUCCUAAGGGAAGCAAGAGUAGGGAAUCCUCCGGCAUUGGGGAAAGCCUGACGGAGCAACGGCGCGGGAGUGAUGAAGGUCUUCGGAUCGGAAAACUCUUUUAUUAGGGAAGAACAAAUGUGUAAGUAACUAUGCACGUCUUGACGGUACCUAAUCAGAAAGCCACGGCUAACUACGUG
rnacentral:rRNA from 1 species